rnacentral:rRNA from 1 species
CUGGCUCAGGAUGAACGCUGGCGGCGUGCCUAACACAUGCAAGUCGAGCGAUUUACUUCGGUAAAGAGCGGCGGACGGGUGAGUAACGCGUGGGUAACCUGCCUCAUACACAUGGAUAACAUACCGAAAGGUAUGCUAAUACAGGAUAAUAUAAGAGAUUCACAUGGAUUUCUUAUCAAAGCUCCGGCGGUAUGAGAUGGACCCGCGUCUGAUUAGCUAGUUGGUAAG